AACAGACAGCAGACAAGCUGUCCAGGAGAACUAAAGGUAGCCACUCAUUUUCUGUGGUCCAGGUAGGCAGAUGUGGUGGUGGUGUAGAGGAGAAACAGUCAUGGAGAGAAAGUACAUUAAGAGCAAGAGAAGCACUUGACAAUUUGAUCAGGAAUAGGAAAGAAGAUGUAGGACAACUGGAAGGAAAAGUGCUCAAAAUAUGACAUGAGCAGCUCAUCUCUUAAAAAAAAAAAACCACUGCUAAUGACUAUCUCACAGCACCGGACUACAGCAUGCCGCACUUCCUGGACCUUCACUAUCUGAGUUUGCUCAGAUUCAUGUCCAUUGAGUCGAUGAUGCCAUCCAACCAUCUAAUCCUCUGUUACCCCCUUCUCCUCUUGCCUUCAAUCUUCCCCAGCAUCAGAAUAUUUUCCAGUGAGCUGGCUCUUCACAU
ensembl:lncRNA